UCCUUACCACUUUACCAGCAGGUAGAGAGCCUUCCUUUUUCGAUUCUCUAUUUCCGUUUCUCAUUCCCAAUCUCCGAUCCAUCCCUAAAAACAACUGACGAGAGAUCGAUGAUGAUGAAGAUGCCUUGGAGGAGGAAGAGCAGGAGCUUCCAUCUUCAGCUACAAGGGGCAAUUGGUACCAUUCAAUCUCCAUUCCUAUUCUUAUUUACCAAUUAUUGCCAUUCUUCUACUUCCACACUUGAAGAUGCACGCUUCUUGACAAAUAACUUCAAAUCUGCUUCUUUUACCCACCUUGAUGAUGCCAUUGCUUCCUUUAAUCAUGUAAUUCAUAAGCAUCCUCUUCCUUCUAGGGCUCAAUUUAGUAGAUUCUUAUCUGCCCUUGUGAAAAUGAAACAAUAUCACACUGUCUUUUCCAUGUCCAAAACAAUUGAAUUGCUAGGAAUCUCACACGAUGUUUAUUCUCUUAGCAUCUUAAUUAAUUGCUUCAGCCACUUACACCUUGUGGAUUUUGGCUUCUCUGUUUUUGGUAAGAUGCUCAAAUUCGGAUUGGAGCCUACCACUGUGACAUUUACUACCUUAAUUAAUGGGCUUUGUAUGGAGAGUAAAAUCGAUAAGGCAGUGGAAUUUUUCGAUGAUAUGGUUGCACGUGGUUAUCAACCUAAUGUUUAUACUUACAAUGUGAUAGUAAACGGAAUGUGUAAAUUUGGGAAAACAAACGUGGCUAUUGGGCUGCUAAAGGGAAUGGCUGAUAGAGGUUGUGAGCCAAAUGUUGUGACAUACAGUGCAAUCAUUGACGCCCUUUGCAAGGAUGAGCUAGUUGGUGAGGCUUUAGAGCUCUUCUCUCAAAUGAGGAAUAAGGGCAUUUCACCUAAUGUCAUCACUUACACUGGUUUAAUUCACGGUGUUUGCAAAUUAGGCCAAAAGAACCAAGCUUUGGCCUUGAUGAAUGAAAUGGUGGAGCAGAACAUAUCACCUGAUGUUUAUACCUUCAAUGUAUUGAUUGAUGCUCUUUGUAAGGAUGGAAUGGUUUCAGAGGCUCAAAAUACAUUCAAUAUAAUGAUUCAAAGAGGUGUAGAGCCUGAUGUGGUCACCUACAAUUCCUUAAUUGAUGGUCUUUGCAUUUCAGACCAAUUCAAGGAAGCUUUGGCCUUGUUGAAAGAAAUGGUGGGGAGGAAUAUAUGCCCUAAUGUUUUUACCUUCAAUAUAUUGAUCGACACUCUUUGUAAAAAAGGAUUGGUUUCAAAUGCAGAGAAUAUAAUCAAAAUAAUGAUUCAAAGAGGUGUGGAACCUGAUGUUGUCACUUAUAAUUCAUUGAUGGAUGGAUAUUGUCUGUGCAAGCAAAUUGAUAAGGCUAGAAAGCUAUUUGAUCUGAUGGUGACCAACGGAAUAGCUGACAUUUUUAGCUACAACAUUUUGAUCAAUGGAUAUUGGAGGCCCCAAACUGCAAAAGAGCUCUUUAAGGAUAUGUGCUCUCAUGGUCAACAGCCAAAUAUAGUAACCUUCUCAAUUAUGAUUGAUGGCUUGUGUAGACAGGGGAAUCUCGAUGAAGCACUCACGCUAUUGAAAGAAAUGGAGGAAAGUCAGUUGAAGCCUGAUCUUGUGACCUAUAGCAUUCUGAUCAAUGGUAUGUGCAAAGCUGGCAAGAUUAAUGAUGCUAAGGAAAUGUUUUCUAGUCUUUUUGAAAAUGGUUUACAACCUGAUGUUUAUGUAUAUAGUGCAAUUAUGAAAGGACUCUGCCAACAAGGAUUAAUGGAUGAAGCCUAUAAGGUAUUUAAAGACAUGGAAAAGGUAGGAUGUUUACCAAAUAAUUGUUGUUAUAAUAUCAUCAUUCAAGGGUUUCUCAAGCAUGAGGAUUUACCAAAAGCAUCAUAACUAAUCAACGAAAUGGUUGAUAAGGGGUUCUAUGCUGAUGCUGCUACCACAGAAUUGGUAGUGCAUUUAUCGCGGAAUAAUGAUCUCAUUCUGAGGCUUUUAAAGGUGCGCAACGAGGGAUCAGCAAACUAUUGUUAUAUCUUGACCAUUCAAGUGUGUCUUGGAGCGCAACUUGGUAAUUACAUUUUUCAAAUAUAAUAGAUAGACAUGGACUAGAUCUCUUUGAUAUAAGAUUGUUGAUGAAUGGAGGUCAUGGAUUUCUAAUGAUCAAGUUGCUGGUACUUGCAAGGAUAUGAUUACAACUUCACCUUUCUAACCAUAAAGGGUGCAGGAUAUACAGUCCCAGAGUACAAGGUAAGAGAAUCACUAGACUUCUACAGCUGUUGGUUGGAUGAAAUGUCACUAAAAUUAUAGACAA